rnacentral:rRNA from 1 species
AACGAACGCUGGCGGCAUGCCUAACACAUGCCAGUCGAACGAGACCUUCGGGUCUAGUGGCGCACGGGUGCAUAACGCGUGGGAACCUGCCCUUAGGUUCGGAAUAACUCCCCGAAAGGGGUGCUAAUACCGGAUAAUGUCUUCGGACCAAAGAUUUAUCGCCUUUGGAUGGGCCCGCGUUGGAUUAGCUAGUUGGUAGGGUAAAAGCCUACCAAGGCGACGAUCCAUAGCUGGUCUGAGAGGAUGAUCAGCCACACUGGGACUGAGACACGGCCCAGACUCCUACGGGAGGCAGCAGUGGGGAAUAUUGGACAAUGGGCGAAAGCCUGAUCCAGCAAUGCCGCGUGAGUGAUGAAGGCCUUAGGGUUGUAAAGCUCUUUUACCCGGGAUGAUAAUGACAGUACCGGGAGAAUAAGCUCCGGCUAACUCCGUG